rnacentral:rRNA from 1 species
UGGGGAAUCUUGGGCAAUGGGCGAAAGCCUGACCCAGCAACGCCGCGUGUGGGAUGAAGGCCCUCGGGUCGUAAACCACUGUCAGAGGGGAAGAAAUGCGACCGGGUAAUAUUCGGUCGAGCUGACGGUACCCUCAAAGGAAGCGCCGGCUAACUCCGUGCCAGCAGCCGCGGUAAUACGGAGGGCGCAAGCGUUGUUCGGAAUUACUGGGCGUAAAGCGCGUGUAGGUGGUUCGGAAAGUCGGAUGUGAAAGUCCGGAGCUCAACUCCGGAAGUGCAUCCGAUACUCUCGAGCUCGAGUCUCGGAGAGGAAGGCAGAAUUCCCAAUGUAGGGGUGAAAUCCGUAGAUAUUGGGAGGAAUACCGGUGGCGAAGGCGGCCUUCUGGACGAUGACUGACACUGA